AGCUGCUGCCAUGGAGCCAGCCGGCCUAGAGCAGCUCCUACGGGAGCUGCUGCUACCGGACACCGAGCGCAUCCGUCGGGUACGAAGCAGGCGUAACCGGGCCAGGGCGAGCGGGAGGUUGCGGGAAAGGCCCGACUCUCACCCCUAGCUUCCCCCCAGGCCACGGAACAGCUUCAGAUCGUUCUUCGGGCCCCCGCCGCUUUGCCGGCUCUCUGCGACCUGCUAGCCUCGGCGGCCGACCCCCAGGUGAGACCCCUGACUCUCCCCUCCGAGCUUCCCACUGUACGCCACUGGUCAAGCCCCAAUAUCCGCCCCCUGCGGUCCGCUCAGCACCUUCCUGCCCGGACCCCCACGUGCUUGCUUCCUCGUCCUAGAUCCGCCAGUUUGCGGCCGUGCUGACCCGCAGACGACUGAACACCCGCUGGCGACGGCUGGCGGCGGAGCAACGGGAGAGCCUCAAGUCCCUGAUCCUGACGGCCCUGCAGAGAGAAACAGAGUAAGUAUCUACCCCUUUCUCUCGGGAUCUUGACGACUUUGGCUAGGUUUCUGCCUUCCCUUUCAGCUCCAGGCUGGGACUUGUAGGGCAGGGACUUCAGUUCUAGACGCAAGG
rnacentral:sRNA from 1 species